rnacentral:rRNA from 1 species
CCCUUAGAUGUUCGGGGCCGCACGCGCGCUACACUGAAGGAAUCAGCACGUCUUUCUCCUUGUCCGAAAGGACUGGGUAACCCGCUGAACCUCCUUCGUGCUAGGGAUUGGGGCCUGUAAUUCUUCCCCAUGAACGAGGAAUUCCCAGUAAGCGCGAGUCAUAAGCUCGCGUUGAUUACGUCCCUGCCCUUUGUACACACCGCCCGUCGCUACUACCGAUUGGAUGGUUUAGUGAGAUCCUCGGAUUGGUCCCGGCGCGGCCUCUGGUCGUGCCGGAGUGCCGAAAAGAAUGUCGAACUUGAUCAUCUAGAGGAAGUAAAAGUCGUAACA